ensembl:snoRNA SNORA74 Small nucleolar RNA SNORA74
CCCAGCUGCAGGCAACUGCCUAGGUUGCUUGUACCUAGGCAAGUGUUACACUGCUGGGAGAAAAGUAACCAGUAGCUGUUGAGCAUU